AGCUUCAAAUUUGCCUAGAUGGGUAAACUGAGGCAUUUCUAUCCCUCUAGAAUUCUGAGUGGCCUCCACUCUGUAUGGAUUAGAAUUUUUGGGGAGCUUGCAACUCCAGAAAUUACUCUAAUGAGCAUAUAGGAGGCUUGAUAAGAUCCUGGCAGAGAAAAAGCAGCUUUAUUUGAAGAAAACAGCAGACAGCAUGGAAGGGGGAGGGUGAGAAGAAGAAAAGGAAAAGGGAUUAUUCCCACAGAAGUGGUUGCCUCGGGGCAAAAAUGUCUUCCCUCCUUCUAUGAAUAAUCACAGACUUUUAUAUUAAUCCUGACAAAAAUUCUCCUCCUUCCCUCGGUCCUAUCCUGGACAUGGGGGAUGGCUUUGGGUUAGACUGUGACUUUCACAGUCUUGAGCACCUGAUUUGCAACAUUACCUAUCCCUAAAGACCCCCAUGAUCAAAAAACUCUUGACUAUCAUGGGAUUUUCAGUCUAGGACAGUAACGAUACAAUUGAAACUCACUGUUCCUUCUUCCUUCAGCCUAUCUCAUAAUUGGUAUUCUUCCCAGGGUACAGAUAAAUUCUUUGCAAAGUUUUUGAAAAUAGGUCAGGAAAACAAAAAAGUUUAUGGGGUGGGGCGAGGAGGACAGUUUUAGUCUAAGAAAUAGUAACAGUCAGGAGUCUUGAAAAUUGGGGCUGUAAGCUAAAUACUUCUCUGAGAAUUACACAGAAAAUUUCAUUCCACAAAGUCUACAUACAUCCCUUUUCCAGUUUAAAAUCUACUCAAAAUUAUCAAUUGCUUGUGAAAUGCAAUUUGCAAUAUGUGAUCAACAAGUAAACAUCUCAUAAGUGCACCUGGCAUUUUCAGAACAAAAGAUGUAGUUAGCGAAGGAUGUUGACACCAAACCAGUUGACACUCUUUUCCAGGCAGAGGUGGAGAGACUUAUUAACCCAUUCCAACAGACUCCUGCAGAAUCCAACUGUUUUGGAAUCUUCAGACACUAAAUAUAUCCUACUUCUGCCUGGUCCCAACAUUUAAACUAAAAUAAACUCUCAGUUAUCCAGGUGGCUGAGUCAGUCUCAGAGUACACUAGGAUGCUUAGAGUUUCUAACUGCAAGAUGAAUUCAAGGGAUAUAAGGAUGAGGGACUCUCAAAACCUACAAUAAUGCUUCAAAGCAGAAUUGUCUUCCUUUCAAGAAGAACUAAGAGUUCAAUGAUGGAGCCAAAUUACUGAUCAACACAGUGAUACUCACCUGACAGAGGAGGGAUGACCUCAAGAUGCAGAAUGAAAAAUGAAUGUUUUGGACAUGGCUGGUGCUGGACUUUGGUUUGAUUAUUCAUAUUCUUCCAAAGCUUUUGUUUUCUCUCCUCCACCCCCAAGUGAGAACCGGAGUAACAAGGCAAAGGGGGACAACAUGAAUGUUUACUCAUUGAAAAAGUUAAGUUUGCAAAACAGUUUCUUGAACUGAAUGAAUAGAGGUAGAGAGAGGACAUCAAAGUUUGAGUAAAUUCUCUACUGAGGAUUUCUAGAAGGUCAUAAAGAAUUAACACACAGGCUUAGAAGGAAUAGAUGGAUUUCAUUCUGUAUUGGUGCUAGACGAACCCACCUGCAUAAUCUAAGUGAGAAACCACUCCAGUAUAUUUGCCAAGUAAACCUCCAAUGGGAUUAUGAAGAGUCAAACACAAUGUACAAGACCAAAUAAAAAUAAAAAAAAUGUUCUUGGGAUUAACUACAUAAUAUUAGUCAGGUCCUUAUCUCAUUAGACAGGUAGGGGGUAUAAUGUUUGGAGCACUAGAGCAGAGGCAGUUUCCCAAACUGUAAAAUGAGGAUAAUCUACCUGCCAGAGUUGUUGGGAUGACCAAAUGAGAUACUUAAGAGCCUAGCACAGUGAUGGCAAAGAUAAGACAUGGGUGCCUCUCUCUGUGGGCACAUGUGCCACCCUGCCCCCCUCUAGAGUGUAUUACUAGAAAGGCAGAGGGACUUGGGCAGAGCUGCUCCCUUUUCCCUCUCUACUGUGCCAGAUGACAGUUUUUUCACACCAGCCACCCAGUGGGAGCACUCUGUGGAGUAAGGGGUGGGGACAGGGUGCCUGGUCUCUAAAAGGUUUGUCAUUACUGCCCUAGCACAUAUUAGGUACUUAAUAAAUGCUCCUUUCCUCUC